AGGCACAACGUAACGUAUGUGCAUCUAGUUGUGCCCCCAGCCAUCCAUAGUUGUUCGAUGAGUGAUGAAUCAUCUGAAUCAGGGCUUUUAUGAGUCUUCAUCACGUUAUAAGGGAUGGUUCUUCAAGUUCUUCUUGGGGAUCACUGGAGGCAUGUGGGACACCCUGUGCAUGUAAUUUGGGAUCUCACUGGGGCAAAGAGUUUAAGUUGUCGGAAGUAUCAGGGGAGGGUCUUUUGUUUUUAUUCUCCAAACAGUGGACUCAAAUCAGAAUAAACCUCCAUCCCUUCCAGGACUUUUUACAUGUCCAGAAGUAGGUGUCAGAAUCAAGAGUGACAUUGACACUGGCUCUGCCAAAACUGCAGAGAAGCACAAAGUAAAUGCUGUGGCCAUUUUCAGUUCUAAGUCUUUACGGACAGCCACAUCUUUCUGUACAGGACACUCUCUUGCCAUUGUCUCUGGUUUGUGUGAAGUAUGGUCUGUCUGCUGUUUUUGUUUUUUUCCCAAAUGCAAAACCUUUACCGCCGAGUCUAUGGGCUUUCCUGUUUUCCAGCUGGCAUCUGUUUGUGGUAACUUGAGCAGCUAAGCGUGCCUAAAGGUGGGGACCAUAGGGCUUUUCCAAUGUAUUCCUGGAAUAAAUCAAGGAGGAUGACACCACGUUCCACUUGGAAGUCUCCUACAUUGCCUCAUUUGUGUGGAUCUCCUCAAUGUGGAAUCAUUGCUCUUGCUGUUUCUUCCUCUCCUGUUUCCUUCUAUUGAGGGUUUUAACAUGGUCAGAAAAAUCUGUGGGUAUCCUUACAAUUUCAAAAUGCGAACUGCCUUCACUCCAACUUACAUUUUUGUAUGUGUCAUUUAGAAUGGUCUUAGACAAAGUAAACUUCAUACCCAUCAGCAUUUGGGUAAACAUGCUGUCCAGAAUCCCCUCAUGUGUGCCCUGGUCACAAAUACUCUGAACUAUAAGAGGUGGCAUAUUUGUCAUAGAAAACAUGCACUGAUACUUAAGUUGUGAAGAGAAAAAAUCCAAAAUUACCUGUGUGGCAAUUCCCCACGGUGUCCUUCACUUGUGUUCACAUGAGCACGUUCUCUCGUGUCCUGUGUCACAGGUACAGCUAAAACAUGGAAACUUAUACCAGACAUCAAAGUGCAUUUGUGUUAAUUUUGUCUUUUAGAAUUUCAGCUCAUUUUUCCAGAGAACACAAUUACCCUGCCAAAUAUACUGUACUUAAGCUGAGAAGUACCUCUGAAUUCAAAUAAAUUAGCUGAACCUAACUAACAUGUAUAGGCCAACUAACAUGUAUAGACUGCCUGUUUCUCUACGAGCAUGCUUUCCCAGGUCCUCUACAGGCCCUCAGGAUCCCCAUCUCCCCAUAUGUCUCUGUGCCCAUGGAUAGCACUUCCAGAGAGAAGGAGACCCCAUCGUUGGGACAGUAGUUUGGGCACAGGCAGGGGCUUAGAGACAGAACCUUGAGCCACGAGGGCUAUGAUUCCAUGUGUGGACUACUGGGAUUUUCAUUCCUUCUCAUUCUGUAGUUCUUCACAACACAAUAAACAGCCUCUGUGGUGGAGGGGAUGAAGGGUGGAGUGUGAUCCUGGACAUAGUUGCCUUCCUAUUUGGAAUAUGCUACUUUGUUAAUUUAGUAUUCAGACUAUAAAUCUUCUAGGAAAGGGCCCUUCCUGUUCCUACGUUUCCAGACAUGUGGGGACAUUAGUUUACCCCAAUCACAUCCUCUUCCCACCCCAAAGCUGUAAGUGGAACCCAAAGUAUGGAUAGAGAUUUUGGCACUGAUGCUGCCCUCUUGGAACCUGGUGGUGGGGAAGCUAGUAGGAUAUGAGCACUGCUGCUUUGGGUUUCUGCUUUUUGCUGGUGUUGGUGCUCUGUUCUGUCCUAUGAACAUACCUCUCAUUUCUUUUCCACAGGCUAUUUUGUAUGCAAGAGUCCUGGUCCUUUCCCAGGAUUGCCUUGCAGGCUGUGCCCCGUGGACCACCCUUCACCACCAGUCAUGGGCUAUAGGCCACAUCCCACUCCUCCACCUACUCUAUUUGUUAAGAUGACCUGAACUGGAUGAGUGGCUGGACAACUCUUUUGAAAUUUGAAGAGGACUGUGCACGGUGACAGACAAUCGUGUUUGUAUAUACAUUUUAAGAAGGUGUCAGAUCUACCUGAAUGCUUUCCCUGCCCAUCAUGUCCCCUCCACUUUGUCCUUCCUAUUGUCCCCUAAUCUACCUUUCAUCGUUUUGUCUCUGUGCCAGCGUCUGCUUCUAGGGCCAUCUACUCUUGCUCCCCAUUGAGUGCACACAGUGGGGUUCCUGUACACACAGGUAACAAAGUGCCAGAAAUGGUGGUAGGGAGGAUAGAAGCAAGAUCACCCUUUGUGCAGGGGAACCUGAGGGAGUUUCCGGGGUGAUGGGAACUACCUAUAUCUAGAUGGAUGGGGUGCUUAUGCUCAAUUAUUUUAGAAUUAUUCCCUGACUCCAUGGUGCCUUGGGGUCAGACAGGUAUUUGUCCUUAGGAAAUGGCUGAGAUCUAAUGAUGGAGAAUGAUGAGGAACCAGCAGUUUCUGUAGAGAGGAGUGAGGGUCAGACCCACGCCCAGGAUGCCAGGUCUCCACAGACAGCACCACGUGUAGGAGGACUCUGAGGAGCAGAUAUUUCUUGAUCAGAUCCAUGAACUAUAUAAUACUCCUGUAGUUUCCUCACUGAGUGAUGGCAGAGCUGAGGCCAGCAGCGGAGGACACCCUUAUCAUGGCUGGAAUGGAGCAGUGGGCCUGGGGGAUUGAGUCAGGGAAAGGGCCAGGCAGAAGGUAGUGACAGGGAGUUUGAGAGACAAAUGGAAGAGAAGAGAAGGGACACUUCUCUGCUGACUUCACCUACAUUUCUCUGUGACCAAAACGAGACCCUUGUCUCCCACGGAAGGGAAGAGGGCUGGCAAAACACCGAGUGACAUACUCAGCUCAAGUGUCCAGAGUAUCUGCCUUGCUCUUGAGUACCUAACACAGGAAACACGUGCUUUCUGUCACGAUUGGAACUGCAGCUCAUACCAUUUAGUGAAAAUCAAUCCAACUAUGCAUCCCUCAGCAUUAAAGUGCUGCAUAAAAUUAAGUGAACAGACUGAAAGAUACAAGGCAGGAUAAAGUCCAAAGGUAGAGCGACGGCAAUACUUACGGGAAUACAGUCUAUCCGAAAAGGAGGUAGGUACCCUAGUGCAGGCCUUCAGCCACCUGGGCAAUAUCUGAAAACGUAAAAAAAAACCAAGUCCUUACUCCAAAAGCAACAUUGGCUCUAGACACAAAGGGAUCAUGAUUAAGGUUUAGAGAGCAACCAUAGGACUUCAUGGUGCUGUAUCCAUGAGAUCAAGUUUCAUCAAAUUAUACCCUUUAAUUUGAGGCUCUUUGUUAUAUGUAAAUUAUACCUCAUUAAAGAGAGUUUCAAAACAUAAAA